AAAAAAAAAAAAAAAAAAGGCUCCCUUUGUCAGACUCAGGACUUCAGCCUCAUUUUCCAAGGCCUAGGCUUUAAGGGACUCUCAAAGCCCCUCACAACACAAGAACAUCUUAGGACUCCCUCUCUCUACCCCCCACCCCACCUCUCGCUAUGGCAACAGAGGAGUGUGUGCAGUAGCAAUCCCUCCUCCCUCUCUUCCUUCCCUAGAGGCCCACAGAAUGGCCAGAGGACACACUCAGUGAGGACAGAGUGGACUGUGGUCACCAGACUGGGGAGGAAGGAGAGAAGUGCAGCCCUGGCCCUGGAGCUACAGGAAGACAGGCUAUGGCUCCAUCUUCCUCUGAGAUAACCACAAGCUUCUCUACAAAGCUACCAGAGAGCCUCAGCAAAUGCUUGCAGCUUCAGUUUGGAAAGGCGCAAAUGGCAGCAGAUGGGGCAGUCUGUAACUGCCUCUUCCUACAGCUUCAGUGCUGCCAGCUUUCCACUGACCACUAGGUGAGGGACUGGUCUCAAAGCACCGAUGCUGACCAACAUCAGCCCCAGCACCCAUCUGCCAAAUACUCAGGUAAGGAGUGAUGACCUCCACA
rnacentral:lncRNA from 1 species